ACAAGACGUCCAGCUGGCUCAGACCACCCAGACCGGUUCAAGCUCAACUCACCUGUGCAGAUGGACCAUGGAGUAACCCAUGGAGUGAUGACAGUUACCUUUACCUCAUUUUAAUGUCAAAAUCUCUGCCGAUGGAGGAGCAUAAGCCUCAUCAACAUAACAGACAAUGAUGGAAAAGAAUGCAUUCAUCAUAUCAGAAGUCUGUACUUGAGACCAUAUUAAUCUCCUCUGGCAAGGACUUUAGCAGACUUCACCCACUGAGCUCUGGAUCUGAAAGCUGACUCUGAUAUGGAAACUGGGCAAGGAAUCAUGACUUUUUGGGGGGUGGCUGCUCUCAGCCUCCUGAUCAUCCAUUCUUGAUUUCUUAUUUUACAGAUUGAGCAAUACUCAAAACUCCUAUUCA